AAAACAACAACAGUAACUAAUACACAUCAUUGCAAAUGGAACAGUGCCGCUCAAUUUAUUCUAUGGUAUUCAUUUAUUGUUCCUUUUUCCUGAAUUGUUCUUCUUUUUUUUUUCUUCUCUUACAACCCUUUUUCUCACAUAGGGCUAAUAGCGGUGAACAAGGUGCGGCAGAAAGAAGUGAAGAA
rnacentral:ribozyme from 1 species